AUACGUAGGGAGCGAGCGUUGUCCGGAAUUACUGGGCGUAAAGGGCGCGUAGGCGGCGCUUCAAGUCGUCUGUCAAACGGGAGGGCUUAACCCUUUUUCGCAGACGAAACUGGAGAGCUUGAGAAGCAGAGAGGCAAACAGAAUUCCUGGUGUAGCGGUGAAAUGCGUAGAUAUCAGGAAGAAUACCAGUGGCGAAGGCGGUUUGCUGGCUGCAUACUGACGCUGAAGCGCGAAAGCCAGGGGAGCAAACGGGAUUAGAUACCCCGGUAGUCCUGGCAGUAAACGAUGUAUGCUGGGUGUGAGACUAGCGAUAGUUUCGUGCCGAAGUUAACGCGAUAAGCAUACCGCCUGGGGAGUACGGUCGCAAGAUUGAAACUCAAAGGAAUUGACGGGG
rnacentral:rRNA from 1 species